CAAAGUCACUUUCCUUUCGGGGCAUUGGAGACAGGUGGUGCAUGGUUGUCGUCAGCUCGUGUCGUGAGAUGUUGGGUUAAGUCCCGCAACGAGCGCAACCCCUAUUUCCAGUAGCCAGCAGGUAGAGCUGGGCACUCUGGAGAGACUGCCCGGGAUAACCGGGAGGAAGGCGGGGAUGACGUCAAAUCAUCAUGCCCCUUAUGAUCAGGGCUACACACGUGCUACAAUGGCGUAAACAAAGGGAAGCGAGACGGUGACGUUGAGCAAAUCCCAAAAAUAACGUCCCAGUUCGGAUUGUAGUCUGCAACUCGACUACAUGAAGCUGGAAUCGCUAGUAAUCGCGAAUCAGAAUGUCGCGGUGAAUACGUUCCCGGGUCUUGUACACACCGCCCGUCACACCAUGGGAGUCGGAAAUGCCCGAAGUCAGUGACCUAACCGAAAGGAAGGAGCUGCCGAAGGUGGAGCCGGUAACUGGGGUGAAGUCGUAACAAGGUA
rnacentral:rRNA from 1 species